UGAAUUGUCUACGGAUUUUUCCGUUUUCCGAUCAUGACAAGGAGAGCACUGUGGGUAGGUGUGUCCGGUCGGCAGGGGAUGCUCACUCUUCCAUGACACCUGAUCUCACCUCUGAUUUUAAGAAUAGGUUUUCGUUUGAACACACAAGCAACAGACAAUACAGUAUCAUUAACAUGUAUAAAAUGAGAACCACUGGUCCAAUUUCAACCAACCUGCCACAAAGUAAUCUUGGCUAAAGAGGAUUACAGUUUGUUCAAAUGAAGGGCCACGUCAUCUUCCAAGGCUUCCAAGUCAUCUUCCAUAGUCCAUUCAAUAUUUUUCCAUAAUCCAACGAUGUGUUUGUUACCUCUUUUCCUCGAUUUUCUGAGUUUAAAUGUUCAGAUAAGGGAAGGACGUGUUCUUUUUUCACAAAUUUGUGAAGUACAUUCCAAAGCCAAAUUAUUUCUCUUUGGGUUUGUGAUCAAAUGUUGAAGAAAUUAGCUGAAUCAAAUGUAUUUAAAUAAACUAUUUUAACAUUAUAUUAACAGAAACUUUUAAAGUAAUGAAAUCUAUAAGAUAAGAGGAAAGCCCCUUUUCUAACCAUCAGAGUAGUCUUUACAAUGAAACAUUGAAAUAAUUAACAGUAUUCAAGCUCAAAGUCCAUUAAAUAAUGCAAACGGGACAGAGCAAACACAGACCUCCAAAAACAUAAAGUGGGAUCAGCCACUGAGGAUUGAGCAUCCCCUGCCGACCGGUCACAUCCGCUGUGUACUCCUUGUCAUAACCAGGAAAAAACGGAAAAAUCUGUAGACAAUUCAGCGUGUAAAUAAUUGCCUUACAAUUAAUAUGAAAUAUGUCAGACAAUAUUUGACUUAAAGAUUUGUUUUAUUUGCUGAUGAGAACAUUGU